UACGUAGGGGGCAAGCGUUGUCCGGAAUCAUUGGGCGUAAAGAGCGUGUAGGCGGUCCAGUAAGUCCGCUGUGAAAGUCAAGGGCUCAACCCUUGAAUGCCGGUGGAUACUGCUGGACUAGAGUCCGGAAGAGGCGAGUGGAAUUCCUGGUGUAGCGGUGAAAUGCGCAGAUAUCAGGAAGAACACCCGUGGCGAAGGCGGCUCUCUGGGACGGUACUGACGCUGAGACGCGAAAGCGUGGGGAGCGAACAGG
rnacentral:rRNA from 1 species